AUUCCCAUCCAUUGGAUCAAAAUGUGUCUACUUGAUCCUAACCAUUCAUUCUCUUAUAAAUAGAACCCAAAAUGGAAGACACAAUACCCAUCAAGCUUCACUCACACACACACCUAAGGCCAAGAGAGAAAAUUGUGGGAUUUGUGUAGUUUUGUGUGGUUUAAGGCUUGAAGUGUGUGCAAGGAAGUAUUUUGGUAAAAGCUAGAUCCCGAUGCUUAUGGAAAGUCCAAGUUAUGAACAGAGAGAUGUAGGUGGCCGGGAUGGGAUCUAGGAAUGCAUUAGAACAUUUCAUUUAUGUUACCCUAAUAAGUGCACUUGCAUAACAACUUUAGUUUUCUUUAAAUUCUCAGUUAUUGUAUCUUUUAUAAUUAAAUUUUCUAAAUAACCGUUUCCGCAUUUAUUAAAAACUCUGAGUUUUAAAAUCA